UUGUUAUUAGAGAGGGGGCAGUUGUAGACCAGCCGUUCAAGAAGUUUGCAGGUAAAUGGGAGCAGGGAGAUGGGUCUCAAGUUGUUCA